rnacentral:rRNA from 1 species
CCCUUAGAUGUCCGGGGCUGCACGCGCGCUACACUGACUGGCUCAGCGUGUGCCUACCCUACGCCGGCAGGCGCGGGUAACCCGUUGAACCCCAUUCGUGAUGGGGAUCGGGGAUUGCAAUUAUUCCCCAUGAACGAGGAAUUCCCAGUAAGUGCGGGUCAUAAGCUUGCGUUGAUUAAGUCCCUGCCCUUUGUACACACCGCCCGUCGCUCCUACCGAUUGAGUGGUCCGGUGAGGCUUUGGGAUCUGAGCGGAAAGAGCGUUUCGCUGUUUCUGCUCGGAAAACUCAGUCGAACCUUAUCAUUUAGAGGAAGGAGAAGUCGUAACA